AUAACUCUUUGUGCAAGGCAGCUGCGGUUUCCUUGGCCUUUGUCCGAUGACCUGUAGAUAACACACAGUCUGUAACUGUUCCAACGAUGCUUUUCCUAACUAACACCUCCAUGUUCGUUUCCACUGUUACAGGCUUCACCUCAGCAGAGGCCAUUUGCAGAAAAGAAAAUCAUUUCUCUGAUGAAGAUGAGGCUUGAAAGUUUUGCCAGGGUAUCAGCUGUAGGAAUGUCGUUUUUAGGGAGUGUCCGCUGUAAAUCAC